rnacentral:rRNA from 1 species
CCUGAUGGAGCGACGCCGCGUGCAGGAUGAAGGCCUUCGGGUUGUAAACUGCUUUUAACUGGGAAGAAGUCGCAAGACUGACGGUACCAGUUGAAUAAGGGGUUGCUAACUCUGUGCCAGCAGCAGCGGUAAUACAGAGACCCCGAGCGUUAUCCGGAUUUAUUGGGCGUAAAGAGCGUGUAGGGAGAUUGAUGUGUCUGAAGUUAAAUCUCAGGGCCUAACCCUGAGCCUGCUUCGGAAACUAUCAAACUAGAGGGCGUUAGAGGCAGAUGGAACAGCCGGUGUAGGGGUGAAAUCCGUUGAUAUCGGCUGGAACACCAAAGGCGAAGGCAUUCUGCUGGGACGUUCCUGACCCUGAGACGCGAAAGCGUGGGCAGCAAAAAGGAUUAGAUACCCUUGUAGUCCACGCCCUAAACGAUGUCCGCUAGCUGUUUCGAGUAUCGACCCUCGGAGUGGCGAAGCUAACGCGUUAAGCGGACCGCCUGGGAAGUACGGUCGCAAGACUAAAACUCAAAGGAAUAGACGGGGACCCGCACAAGCGGUGGAGCAUGAGGUUUAAUUCGAUGGUACACGAGAAACCUUACCAGGGUUUGAAAUGUUGGCGAAAGCUGUUUGAAAGGACAGCUGUCUCACAAGGACGCCAGCACAGGUGCUGCAUGGUUGUCGUCAGCUCGUGGUUUGAAUUGUUCCCUUAAGUGGGGUAACGAGCGCAACCCCUGUUGUCUGUUAUAAGUGUCAGACGAGACUGCCGUGUUUACACGGAGGAAGGCGGGGAUGACGUCAAAUCCGCAUGGCCCUCUGAUACCCUGGGCCACACUCAUGCUACAAUGGCCGAUACAAAGGGUUUGCCAAAGCGCAAGCUGGAGCUAAUCUCAGAAAAUCGGCCCCAGUUCGGAUUGAGGGCUGAAACUCGCCCUCAUGAAGCCGGAAUCGCUAGUAAUCGCGCAUCAGCUAUGGCGCGGUGAAUACGUUCUCGGGUCCUGUACUCACCGCCCGUCACGCCAAGGGAGCCGGGAGAAGGUGAACCCCGACAUUGCGUCGGAGCAGCCUUAGCUCGGUGACAUGGGCGAAGUCGUAACAAGGCACGCGUAGCGGAAGCUGUGCGUGAAUCAA